rnacentral:rRNA from 1 species
GGAUUUUUACCUUUUGAAUAACCAGCAUGCCAUUAAGUUUGUGCGUUGGGGAAGCAGAUCUAUUACCUUGAAAAAAUUAGUGCUUAAAGCGAGCUAGUGCUUGAAUAGAUUAGCAUGGAAUAAUAAAAUAGGACGGCAUGGUUUUAUUUUGUUGGUUUCUAGGAUCACCGUA